rnacentral:rRNA from 1 species
AACAAGGUUUCCGUAGGUGAACCUGCGGAAGGAUCAUUAAUGAAAUUUAUGAUCGGGGCUGUAGCUGGCCGUUUCAAAAACGGCAUGUGCACGCCCCUUUCACUAAUCCACACACACCUGUGCACCUAUGCGGGGGUUCCUGGGAGUUCGACGCAAGUCGUUAGUACCGGGGGCUCGCGUCCCUUUACACACCCUUUCGCAUGUCUUGAGAAUGUCUACUCGAUGUAAUAAAACGCAUCUAAUACAACUUUCAACAACGGAUCUCUUGGCUCUCGCAUCGAUGAAGAACGCAGCGAAAUGCGAUAAGUAAUGUGAAUUGCAGAAUUCAGUGAAUCAUCGAAUCUUUGAACGCACCUUGCGCCCUUUGGUAUUCCGAAGGGCACACCUGUUUGAGUGUCGUGAAAUUCUCAACCCUCUUCACUUUUUUUAGAGUGGGGCUAGGGCUUGGACUUGGAGGCUUUGCCGGCUCUACCCCGGCUCCUCUCAAACGCAUUAGUGCGUCUUGUUGCGACGUGCGCCUCGGUGUGAUAAUUAUCUACGCUGUGGUGCGCUUGCUUCUGUGGAGACGCGCUUUCAAACCGUCCGGAAGGACAGCUUUCAUCGAACUUUGACCUCAAAUCAGGUGGGACUACCCGCUGAACUUAAGCAUAUC